UUAAAUUGAAGAGUUUGAUCAUGGCUCAGAUUGAACGCUGGCGGCAGGCCUAACACAUGCAAGUCGAACGGUAACAGGAAACAGCUUGCUGUUUCGCUGACGAGUGGCGGACGGGUGAGUAAUGUCUGGGAAACUGCCUGAUGGAGGGGGAUAACUACUGGAA
rnacentral:rRNA from 1 species